CAUUUAAACACUAGGAAUAUGCUGGUUAAAUCAUAGGAUCGAAAUUCGAAUGGAGUCUCGUGGCAUCUAAGCUGCAUUUCAAUUCGAUGCAAAAAUUAGAGGUGAUUUUUUUGUUUAGAUAUUUGGGGAGAUUAAGAGCAGGCGGUAUGGAAUGUCUCUGAUCCUAUGAUUUGGAGGCGGCCUUGGUAAGUCUCAACGUGCCUGGGGGUAGCUGUGUCUAUAACAGCAAUGUUGCAUAUGAGAUCUCCUGCUCUAAAAUGGAAAUGGUGGAGAUUUAAAUAUAGAAUUGAUAUCUAGAAUAAGAAUUGUUCAUUAGGAUAGAUAUCGAGCAGACUUACAGAAAUGGUUGUUAUACCACUUUGGCAUAAUCAGGGCUCCUAAUUCCUUACUCUCAAUUGGUUUCGCAAAUAUAUAUUCACUCUUUGAAUGAAUGUGGAAGCUGUCAUUUUUUAAUCUACUACUACAUUAGGAUAUCACUUUCCAUUUUGUUACUGAAUAUGCUGCUACCUAUUGAUUUGGUUGUUAGCUUUUUCCAGCCUAAUUAAUUCUUAGGGACUUUCGUAUGAGCUUAGUGUGUAAUUCAAUUGGCACAUUUUAUCAGUUUUUUUUUUUUUUUUUUUUUUUUAGAAAAAUAAAUAAAUCAUCUUAUUUAGUGAGUCUAAAUUCUGUAAACAUGUAUGGUACAUUAUCUAAUUGUUUUCUUUAAACAUGCUUUGAUAUGUUCUUGCUUAGGUUGGUAAUGGAUUCACAGAGAUGGAUGAAAAUUGGUGGAGAUUUUGAAAAGUUGUUACGGUUUUAUGGGGGCAUUUCUUCUGAUGGUAUUUGAAAUUUGUUGUUAAGACUUUAAUCUGUAUGGCGGCAUUUAUCUUAGAAACUUGGACAAGCUUUUCCACCAUGUCAUUUUUUUCAUAUUUUUGUAAAUAAUCUAUGCAGUUCGUAACUUCAGCAGUUUUUAUUUAACUAUAGUUUGCUCUUACCAUUGUCUCACGGGCAACUGAAUCUUACUUUUGUUUGUUUGGAUUUUGGACACCAUGUAUUGUGUGCUUAGUGUUUGGAUGUUCUUUGGUCAAUCAUAACUUGUAAGGGUACUAAAGGGAUCCACUAUUGCAUUCAUUUUUAGUUUUUGGAUACCCAAUUUUCUUCACUUACUGUAAGAUCAUUAUAAUUGGUACUUUUGGUUCUCCAGGUUUUGCACUAGUUUGAUCUCAAACUGGGACGCUCAAGAUUGACCUUGUUUGUGUUGUCAUUGCCACUUUACAGAUUUUGGCCUUCUUCGCUGCGCCUAAUUGGGUCGGAGCAAGCAAAAGUCAUGCAAGUUGUACAACACUGUGGUUGUAAAGGUCUGUGUAAUUCUGAAUUCAUAUCCUCCCUUCUCUUCUCUUGGAUUAUAAAAUAAUCUGAAUUCAGGUUACCAACUUCAACACUAAAUCCCCAGUGUGGUGAAAGAUUGGAUCCUCCUCCUCCUCCUCCUCCUGUUGAGGGCAGGCAAGGCAAGGCAAAUAAAUACAUAUACACUUCAGAUAACUAAGAUUGACAUUGCCUCAACAGUAGGAGAGAGUUGUACAAAAUACUCAUAAAAACAUACUUAUAUAGGGGGGAAUUGUCUGAAAACGCAACCAUAAAAUCCUAAACAAGCCUCCUCUGCAACCCAGAGAGAACAUUCAUGCUUUAAUGUUAGCAAAAUAAGUCUAAAACAACCAACCUUAAGAGCCAUCUAACUUGUUAUUUCUCGAAGCCCAUUCACUUCUUCCUCUUCUUCGGG